AUUAAAUAAGAGUUUAACUCAAAAUAUUUUAUUUUAAAGUCCAUUUGUAAAAAUACUUGAAAUAAAAGAACUCCAUUUAAAUAAUUAAUUUAAAGGUCAAUAUAUAAUUAAAUUAAUCAAGCUCAAUUUAAAUUAAUAAUUAAGAGCUCAAAUAAUUUAAAUAGAUAUAAGCCCAAAUUAAUUAGAUAAAUUAAGUCUAUCAUGUUUUUCUUUGAAUAAGGCCCAAACAAUUAAAUUAAAGAAGCCCAAAUCCUUUAAUUAAAUAAGGGCCCAAACACUUAUUAAAAUCGGCUCAAGUCUCGGCCCAACAACAAUUAAAUAACAGCCCAAAUCAUGUCCAAGCCCACCCCUCAUACUAACCCUAAAAUAAAAACACACACAACACAUUCAGCACACACACAAAGAAGCUGCGCCUCUCUCUCCCUCGGACGUCUGCCCGGCGCCGCCGUCGCCGCCGGCGAGCGGUGCGGCCUCUCCCUCUCACCCCCUCGGUCUCCUCUUCUCUCCCUCUCGUUUCUCUGUUCUCCUUUCACCUCUAUCUCUCUCGCUCACUCUACCACCGGAAACAGGGCAAGAGAUGCCGCCGCCUCUUCUUCACCUCCACGGCGGAACGGCCGCCCCCUGUUCUCCCUCUCUCUCUAUCUCUAACUCUCAACAUCAUCUCGGUCUCUCUCUCUAACUCUCACUGACACACACGCCGACAGACACGGCGAAAGCCGCGCCGCCGCGUCGUCCUCCCCUUCGCCGGUGGACAGACGGCCAGGAGCCGUAGAGGAAUCGCCGUCGCCGGAGACAUCCCAGAACGGAACCACGGCAGGUUCACCGCCGCCGCUCCGUCGCCGGCGACGAGCCACCACGGCUGCCGCCUCCCUCUGAUCUCGACUCACACACACACAGCAGGGUCAAGCUCUUAUUCAGUUUAAAAAAAAGACAUAGAGAAAUUAGCACAAAUUCAAUUACUAAACUGUAUACUCUUUGUAUUUUCUUUAAAAGUCUGUAAUUUAAGCAAAUCAUUGUAUCCUUGCAUGUAUAUUUGUAAUAGGUUUCAAAGAAAAAGUAUACACGCAUAUAAGAAUUACUAAGCAA